AGACGCUGCGGGUCGUUGGCGGCUCCCCUCGCCCUGCUACCAUGGUACCGCCGGGACUCCUCCCAGCUGCUUCCACCUCGACAAUGGUUCCCUCAACCCCGUCGGGUUCGUCACCAGCCACUCCUUCCCGGCACACUCUGCCCGCCGUCCUACCCAUCCGCCUGGCUCCCGCUGCGAACACCGCCGCUGAGUGCAUCAAAAGCCAUCGCAUGGGACCUCACCUCCUGCCGCCCCACUCGAGGUUGGGCAACCCCUAACCUACUAAGGUGAACUCUGCUUGAGUACACACCCACGGGGUGUCCGACAGGGGCUCCUUUGCCCGUUCUGCAAGAUGAUGUAGGCACAUAUAAGAACGCCUCGACCCCUCAACGGAAACCCCCUGCUCAAUUGCUUCCCAUGCUCGACUUUGCUACAUCGCCGUUUUGCUAACUUUACCAGAAUCUCGUCGUUUUGCGACUUCACUAAAAUUUCGUCCGCCUGUUCUCCACGCAUGGUACGAAGGUUCGGUGCCUUCUGGCAUAUUGGUGUAGAUAGAAUCAUACUGCUGAUUUCUUAUAAUUUCAUCAUCACGAAGAUGUGUUCUAUUUGUUUAGUUAACGACUAUUUUGAUGCAGGCCUUAGUUUGGUUUUUUAUGGCUGCAGGUUCAUAAUAAUCUGGGUUGCACCAACUGCUUUUGGUUGGUGAUGACUGCCAUGCAGUUCUCGCCAUGUUUGAACCACUCUUCACAUGGACAUCCCUAUGCUCCUUAUCUUACUGGUCAUCAUUAUUGUUGAUUAUUUCUCCUUCCGUUCUUUUAUGUUAUCCAAUGGAUAUUCUCUUACUACAUAUAUUUCUGGAGGACUAAAGAGCAUGCCAUCCCUGAUUAAACAUUGGUUGUGUUGAUAGAUUAAACCCCAAUGGUUUCUAUAUGAAUGUUCUUUCAUCCAAUUAAUCAUUUGUUUAGUUUCAGAUAUUAGACCCAAAUUUGUUUAUGCAUUGGACUAGAAAUAGCACAACUGCAAUAUUUUUUUAUUAAAUUUCACAGUAAAGUUUUUGCAGCUGAUGUCCCACUGUACGCAGACACCACAUUCUGGUUAGCCUCAUACUAUGGAGAUGGUUGACGAGAUGUACGGCAAUAGUUUCAGGUGGUGAGCCGAGAUGUGCUGGCAAGGCCAAAGAGUCGGUUCGCUUAGAUCAGGCUGCUGGAGGCUCUUGCACUCGCAUGUCUGCUGGAGGCUGCACAACCCACACGUGGAAAAGCAUGUUAUACAACAUCUCAUUUUCUACUAAGAUACGCAGUAGGAAAGCAUUGACCUAUUACGCUUGAUCUGAAGUCAUCGGCUUUUGACCCAAAGGAGAAAGUAUGGACAAGGUUCCCACUGGAAGGCUCAGAAUACACCCCUCCACAGAGUUCUUGUGAUUUCAGAUGGAAAGAUUACUGCCUCCAAGUAUUCUGGUUGUUCAAGGUUGAUGCAACAGAUUGUAUGCUAUCCCUUUGUGGGGACCAGGCUCUCCGAGGGCUCUCAUCCCCUGGUAAGAGUGGAAGCUUCUUUUAUCUCACGAGCAAUUAUCAUUACAUGAGAAAGACGAUGAAGAAAUAGGGAAUAAAGGUACUAUGUUGCCUAUUCAGGGACCUCACCUUCAUGAGACUGGGGUAGAUGUUAGAAAGGAGAGAUGAUGUGAGUUUCUGAAGUUCACUGUAGAAGGGCAAGAUGUGGGCUGUGCAAUCGCGAUGUAUUGAUCGGUGCACCAGGCACGUAUAUAUAAGUACAGAGGUGGGCCACAACCUCAACUAUACAGAGGAAACAGGAGGUGGGCCCUAUGCACAAACAUAUACGUACACAA